rnacentral:rRNA from 1 species
GUCUCAAAGAUUAAGCCAUGCAUGUCUAAGUAUAAAUCAUUUAUACAGGUGAAACUGCGAAUGGCUCAUUAAAUCAGUUAUAGUUUAUUUGAUAGUACAAUUACUACUUGGAUAACCGUGGUAAUUCUAGAGCUAGUACAUGCUAAAAGUCUCGACUUCUGGAAGGGACGUAUUUAUUAGAUAAAAACUAAUAA